rnacentral:tRNA from 2 species
GGGUUGCUGGUCUAGCCUGGUUAUGACGUCGCCUUCACACGGCGAAGCUCCCAAGUUCGAAUCUUGGGCAACCCA